rnacentral:lncRNA from 1 species
CUUGGGCGUUGGGUGAAGUAUCCAGGUUGGGCGCUUCCAGCGCUUUCUGUGGCGGGGGAAUGAAGGCCUAGGUCAGGGAAUAGGAAGGUGUAUCGCCGCCAGAGUGCGGAACACCCUCGCCUUGAGGGUUCCCACAGUGACUUGCAAAAGUCUAGUGAGACCCGAGAAUGCUGAGGCGGGACACGAAGCAUGUGGUUCUUGUGGUUGCGACGCUCGUGCCGCCAUCUUGGGUGCUGGCGGCGGAAACCGGUACCCCAACUUCCCCUCGGUGCGAACCUGGAGAAGCCACCCCAGCUGUGAGGGACGGUUGCGCCUCAUGGCCCAGGCAAGGGUACCUUCGCUGGAGCAGUACCGCGGACGGAUAUCAUGAGGGUGGUGGGACGUUGGCGGAACGUUGGCGGAACGUUGGCGGUGUGAGAGGUGUGGGGGAAUCAUUGGGUUGGCGUUUGCAAUGCGUUCCUCCCAGCUAUAGGACAAAGAGGUGUCAACUCAACUGUGUCUUCUUAGAAGAGCCCAUUAUUUAUAGGUGAGUCAUUAGUCCCUGUACAACUAAGGACAAGGCCAACUGAUAACUCAGUAAAUAAUCGAGUCCAUUUUGUGCUUGCGAGUUAGGGGCUUAAUUUGGGGUGGUUUGCAGAUUAAGUACUUUCACUGCAUAUAAUAAACGUACACCAGCAAACCACUCAUGGAAUUCUUAAAAAAACUUCUGAGCUAGUUUACCAGUUUCAAAGACUAAUUCAGAGAGCAUGUUUUACCUAUUCUAGGCUGGACUGGAACUCCUGGACUCAAGCGAUCUUUCCAUUUAUCAGGGACUAC